CCAGUGGCUAGGGUAGCUCCCGAAAAGAAAUUAACACCAAUUUCCUGCCAUUAUUUUUGUUUAGAGGGUU
rnacentral:ncRNA from 1 species